rnacentral:lncRNA from 14 species
CCCAGAUGAGGAGCUCUUGCUCUUGUACUAGAACCCAAGGACGUGAGAGUGCAUUUCACUGUGCCAUACUUAGUAUUUGUAUCUGCAUGGAAAGGUCUGGAAAAGGGGAGAAAGUUUCUUUGCACCUGGCAUCCCAACAUGCUGGUAACAAGAUCCAAUGAGUGAAGUAAUAGGCAAGAGAUUUGUUCCUUUAAGUCAGCCAGCUUUUUUCCCCUCGAUUCAAAACUUGGAUGUUGUCUUUGAUCUGUUACCAAUCAUAUAUCAGGGUAUAUGUCUGGCUGCUUAUCUUUCUGAGCACUUGUGCUGCACAUGUAUUAAUGUGCUCAUCUGGGAAUAGAAUCAUGUAAAAACAUACUUCAAACUGGCAGUGAGUCCUUUUUGGCAGAACCACCAUGGAGCAGCUGUGUGACAACCUGAGACACAGGGUCUGAGGAAAAUGUGCUUUAGGACUGCAGUGUGGAAGGGAGAGUGCACCUCUCAUGGACGUGUGAAAUGGAGCUGUGGCUGGGUUCCCCCUUCUGCCAGGGUACCAGGGCAAUGAUGGCAUCUCCCUGAAAUCCCACGUAAGUGGCAAUCUCAAACUUCUGCACUGGUGUUGCAGGCCAAUGCAAUGAAAUCAUUCUCUGAGUACACACUGUACUGUGUCUUUCCAGGCGCUUGUCAAACUCAAAAUGAGUAUCAGAAGGCUUCUGGAUGAGAGUCUGGAAUGAGAACGUGGGCUGUUGAAAUGCACAAAGGAAAACCCAGGAGAAGAGUGGAGGAUGAUUACUCCUGGCCUGGCCAGAAGGUUUACACCGAUGUAUCACUUACCUCCAUUUUAUUGGUGCGGAAAAUCUGAAGUCAUAAAGCCUUACAUGACUACAGGACACCAGGAUGCACAGCAAUUACCUAUUUAUAAAACCCAAAGCAGGAAGGGCAGUUAGAACCCACAUCGCAGGAAGACCCCAGGCCAUAUUCCCAUAUCUUCCCUGGGGUUCACACAGAGACAGCAGUAUCUGCUCUGUCUUGGCUGAGCUGUGUGGCUGGAUGGAGCUGCCUGGAAGGGCAGGAGCAGCAGGAGCUGGAGAAGGAUCAUCACAGCAGAACCACUCACCUGACCUGGCCUUGGCUCCUCAGAACCACUGAAAGGUGACACAUAGAGCACCACAGCACAACCAGCUGCAGAGGUGAGUGACUUACAGUCAGAGCAGCUCCUGGAGAGCCGGACUCAGGCUGAUCACUGUCAGCAGAGGCUUCAGUGGUCACAAGGCUUUACAGUGUUACUUGUCUGACUGUCAGGAUGAAAUAGAACAGAGACCCAAAAUCCUCCCCAUGUCACCUGAGCACUUAUAUCUGUUCAACUUCUGAAUUCAUUCAAAUCUGGGAUUCUAAGG